CGUAGGGUGCGAGCGUUAAUCGGAAUUACUGGGCGUAAAGCGUGCGCAGGCGGUUUUGUAAGCCAGAUGUGAAAUCCCCGGGCUUAACCUGGGAAUGGCAUUUGGGACUGCAAGGCUCGAGUGCGGCAGAGGGGACUGGAAUUCCUGGUGUAGCAGUGAAAUGCGUAGAUAUCAGGAGGAAUACCGAUGGCGAAGGCAGGUCUCUGGGCUGACACUGACGCUCAUGCACGAAAGCGUGGGGAGCAAACAGGAUUAGAUACCCUGGUAGUCCACGCCCUAAACGAUGUCGACUGGUUGUUGGGGGUUUGACACUCUCAGUAACGAAGCUAACGCGUGAAGUCGACCGCCUGGGGAGUACGGCCGCAAGGUUA
rnacentral:rRNA from 1 species